AGCGAACGCUGGCGGCAGGCCUAACACAUGCAAGUCGAACGAACCUUUCGGGGUUAGUGGCGGACGGGUGAGUAACACGUGGGAACGUGCCUUUAGGUUCGGAAUAACUCAGGGAAACUUGUGCUAAUACCGAAUGUGCCCUUCGGGGGAAAGAUUUAUCGCCUUUAGAGCGGCCCGCGUCUUAUUAGCUAGUUGGUUGAGGUAAUGGCUCACCAAGGCGACGAUCAGUAGCUGGUAUGAGAGGAUGAUCAGCCACAUUGGGGCUGAGACACGGCCCAAACUCCUACGGAAGGCAGCAGUGGGGAAUCUUGCGCAAUGGGCGAAAGCCUGACGCAGCCAUGCCGCGUGAAUGAUGAAGGUCUUAGGAUUGUAAAAUUCUUUCACCGGGGACGAUAAUGACGGUACCCGGAGAAGAAGCCCCGGCUAACUUCGUG
rnacentral:rRNA from 1 species